UACGGAAGGGGCAAGCGUUGUUCGGAAUCAUUGGGCGUAAAGGGCGCGCAGGUGGCUCUGUAUGUCUGCCGUGAAAGCAUACAGCUCAACUGUAUUGUGUCGGUAGAAACUGCAGGACUUGAGGCUGGGAGGGGCUGGUGGAAUUCCCCGUGUAGCGGUGAAAUGCGUAGAGAUGGGGGAGAACACUCGUGGCGAAGGCGGCAUCCUGGACCGGUAUUGACGCUGAUGCGCGAAAGCCAGGGGAGCAAACGGG
rnacentral:rRNA from 1 species